GGGCUCAUGGCCUAAUGGUAAGGCGUUAGAUUUCGGUUCCCUCUACGAUUUGUAAGGUAUUCCAGUCCUCUAAAGAUUGCAGGUUCGAUCCCUGCUGAGCUCG